AUUCAGACUAGACAUCUUUCUCCCUGCACAAUAACCCAAUAAGAACAUCAGUUAUUUGAAUAACUAAAUUAUAUAAGUUCUCGACGAUUAAGAGAUGCUUGCGGAGGAGGCUAGACAUAUAUAGUUCGGGGUUCAGUGCAAGCAUACACUAUUAACUUUUAUUAUAUAAACAUAAGUGUUAUAUAGAGUUUUUGGCCACUGAGAAAAAUAGUAUUUAAACACACGUAAAAAAUACAAUAUUUUUACGUGUGAAAAUAUCAUUUGUUGUAAAACGCAUUGCCACGGACGUUUUAUUGUUUUUCACUGAAUUUUGUUUAUAUAAUAAACAGAAAAAUACAUGGUUGCUUGGAAAUACCAGAUACUCGAAAUAAAUCUGGUAUUUCACUAGUAAUUCUCUAUUUCUUUAAUUUAAAUAAUGUAGUAGAAGAUCUGUAUAGCAGAAGUCUUGUAAAAAAAAUUUGUUUUGCUGUUUUUGUUUGUUGUAUCGAAUCUUGACGACUUGUUGUCUAGCCAGGGUGGAAGUCACAUAAAAAGCUGUCUGUUUGUAUAAAGCAAUAUAUUCU